rnacentral:tRNA from 1 species
GCCAGUGUUGCUCAGUGGUUAGAGCAUCACCCUGCAGACUGAAGGUCCCGGGUUCGAUUCCCAUCAAGGGCA